rnacentral:rRNA from 1 species
CAAUAGCGUAUAUUAAAGUUGUUGCAGUUAAAAAGCUCGUAGUUGGAUUUCUGGCCGAGUGUCCCUAGGCCAGCAUGACGUUUGGUCCUAGGCGCUCUGCCAUCCUUCUGUCAACCUUCGCCUUCUUCAUUGGGGGCGCUGGGGCUCAGAUAUUUUACCUUGAGAAAAUUAGAGUGUUUCAGGCAGGCUUUCGCCGGAAUACAUUAGCAUGGAAUAAUGGAAAAGGACUUCAACCUCUUCUGUUGGUCUGAGAGGCUGUAGUAAUGAUUAAUAGGGAUAGUUGGGGGCAUUCGUACUUGUAAGUCAGAGGUGAAAUUCUUCGAUUUUACAAAGACGAACUAAUGCGAAGGCAUCUGCCAAGGAUGUUUUCAUUGAUCAAGAACGAAAGACAGGGGAUCAAAGAUGAUCAGAUACCAU